rnacentral:rRNA from 1 species
AUUGAACGCUGGCGGCAGGCUUAACACAUGCAAGUCGAGCGGGGGAAGGUAGCUUGCUACCGGACCUAGCGGCGGACGGGUGAGUAAUGCUUAGGAAUCUGCCUAUUAGUGGGGGACAACAUCUCGAAAGGGAUGCUAAUACCGCAUACGUCCUACGGGAGAAAGCAGGGGAUCUUCGGACCUUGCGCUAAUAGAUGAGCCUAAGUCGGAUUAGCUAGUUGGUGGGGUAAAGGCCUACCAAGGCGACGAUCUGUAGCGGGUCUGAGAGGAUGGUCAGCCACACUGGGACUGAUACACGGCCCAGACUCCGACGGGAGGCAGCAGUGGGGAAGAUUGGACAAUGGGGGGAACCCUGAUCCAGCCAUGCCGCGUGUGCGAAGAAGGCCUUAUGGUUGUAAAGCACUUUAAGCGAGGAGGAGGCUACUCUAGUUAAUACCUAGGGAUAGUGGACGUUACUCGCAGAAUAAGCACCGGCUAACUCUGUGCCAGCCGCCGCCGUAA